rnacentral:rRNA from 1 species
GAUGAACGCUAGCAGCAGGCCUAAUACAUGCAAGUCGAACGGUCCACUUCGGUGGAUAGUGGCGCACGGGUGCGUAACACGUAUGCAACCUACCUUACAUUGGGGGAUAGCCUUUCGAAAGGGAGAUUAAUACCGCAUAAGACAGUAACAUGGCAUCAUGUAGCUGUUAAAGAUUUAUCGAUGUAAGCUGGGCAUGCGUCCAAUUAGUUAGUUGGUGAGGUAAUGGCUAACCAAGACGAUGAUUGGUAGGGGAACUGAGAGGUCAAUCCCCCACACUGGCACUUAGAGACGGGCCAGACUCCUACGGGAGGCAGCAGUAGGGAAUAUUGGGCAAUGGACGCAAGUCUGGCCCAGCCAUGCCGCGUGCAGGAAGAGGGCGUUCUGCGUUGUAAACUGCUUUUAUAUAGGAAGAAACGACCCUUGCGAGGGGCAUUGACGGUACCCACAGAAGAAGCCCCGGCUAACUUCGUGCCAGCCGCCGCUGUAAAAC